UAAAUUUAAGAACUAUCUACUAUGGUAGAUCUCAAUGUCUUCUGAAUUUGAGAACAAUGAUCUUUGUUACUAAUAUAAAAAUCACUGCCAAAUAAAUACACGUUACGAAAAGAAAUCUAUUUUUAGGAAUGUUUUGGUGCGUUUGUCAUUUCAUUUAAUGGUAUAUGCCAUAUUUAUUUAAUCUAGAGACUCUUUAAAAUUACUUUGGCUAAUGAGUGAAAUAUCUAUCUAUAAUAUAUAUAAAAAAAAUUUGAUGUAUCAUCUUUGGAAGUGGGGUUUAUACAGGUGUAUAUGUAGCACAAACUUACCAGGAUUUUCUUUCUCUAUUUUGUAAGAGAACAGCACAAGAAUGUGAGAGAGCUCUGGAAAGAAAGAAAUGAUAGAAAGGGUGGAGUCCCCGCAGGUUUUAUUUGAGAAAGCUCAGGCUUUUAUUAAAGCAAAAAUUGAUGAGUUCAAUGGCAAAAAAGACUAACGCAGUGUAGGCUUGAAUUAAAUUGUAAAUACGUGGGUUGUAGCAUGAUUUUAUUUUAUAAUAAAUAAUACAUGAACUUGUA